UAUUUCAGACUAGAUGAUAGGAGAAUAUAGGACAUCAAAUUUGACAGUAUUUACCAAACAUUCAUUCAUCUUCUGAACCGCUUAUCCUCUCGAGGGUCAUAACCAAUUCAAAUUUGAGUUAUCACAUUCAAAGCCCUUGAGAACAUGACACACACAUAUUGAGUGUGGUGAACAGGUGUGCACUGAUGCUCAUUUAAUAUUGAGAGCAGUGUUAGAGUCAGCAGUGGCAGUUGCUGGACAUGGGAACAUCAAUUAUUCAGCAUCACCAGACAACGGCAGACUACUGUCUGCAGGGAAUUUGUUAACUAAUCCGAGACUUGAGUUCAUCAUUAAACACGAGACGAGGCGAUUCUACCUGAAGUCUCCAAAGAGGCACAUGAAAUUAGUGGUAAAAAUCUGUCACAAUUUUCAGGUGUAGAGGCGUGUAUCCAGCACCUGACCUCACGUUGACGUUAACGGGCACGGCGUUAUCCUUGGCGAACUUCAGCAGCUGGGAGAGCAGCUCCACUUUGCCCUGCUUGGCUGCCCAGUGAAGGCAGGUGAAGCCGGUUACGAAGUCUCUCUUGGCCACGAGGCCGGCCUCCACGGCCAAAAGGGGCUGCAGGCUUUCCCACAGGCCGUCCGAGGCGCACAGCAUCCAUUCGUGCUCCAUCGGGUCCAACGUCACCGAGGCGCAGUCCUCGUCGGUGGCCGACGAGAGCAGAGACGCCGAAUCCCCGUCGCUCCUCAUCGAGUCCCGAAGGCGAGGCCCUCGGUUGAUGAGAGACCGCCGAACCUAUAAGAGGAGGCAGGCAUGGAAUUAAUUUUCAUAAGUGUCCUCUUUACAUUCUCACACAGCUUAUCUUCAUUGAUCCAGAAGUCCAUAUCUUUAAAUUCAAUCAUUCCCAACUCAUCUCAAGUACUAGUACAUGAAUCAGAUCCAUGAUCUCGCCUCACCUGAGGUGAACAAUUCAUCAUCAGCUCGAUGAAGUUUCUGCGACUGCCUUUGGGUGUGUUGACAUCCAGGUUAUCCAACCCUUCUAUGGUGCUGUCUUCAGACAGGCAGCUGGCCAGCAUCGCUCGCUGCGACCCUUUGGACACCCUGCGGGACCCUCGGACUUGUUGGCUUUGGGAGCCGGCGGGAUGGUCUAGAUCUGGCACUCCUAUCAGCGGGGCUGACUCGCGUCGUCUUCUCUCCCUCAGCUUCACUUCUCCGGCACUGACAGAAGCGGGAGUUGUAUUAGUCUGGGAGUUCUGCUUGGCAACAUCCAUAUUACAAGAAGGGGGACUGGUAGCUCCUGUGAGAUCACAGAACAAGGUUUUUAAUGAAUAUUCACUUUGGCUCAUUUUCUAGAAAAUAAAUAUAGAGUGCAGUGAAUGUAAAUUUCCCAUGUAUACAACAAAACUGAGAUGAAGGCUUGAAUGAAUGUUCAUUCGCCCACUCCCAAUCAAAAUGAAUUGGACGUCUAGUGUCAUCAAAGACACGGAAACAUGAGGUAACAAGGAAGUGACCCCAAAAAUGAGAAGAAGUGACACAUAGAGCAAAGCAUCCCCACGCACUUUCUCCAGAAAUUGAAUUUUCUACACUUUCUUAUUAAAUUAAUUUUAUUACACCCCAUGCUGAACACGGUGUUUAGUACAAACUGAGAAAAUAAAACAGUAAGACAAUGCUUCAUGUUACCAGAGAGGCUGU